GACGAACGCUGGCGGCGUGCUUAACACAUGCAAGUCGAACGGAAAGGCCCUGCUUUUGUGGGGUGCUCGAGUGGCGAACGGGUGAGUAACACGUGAGUAACCUGCCCUUGACUUUGGGAUAACUUCAGGAAACUCGGGCUAAUACCGGAUAGGAUCUCCUGCUGCAUGGUGGGGGAUGGAAAGUUUCGGCGGUUGGGGAUGGACUCGCGGCUUAUCAGCUUGUUGGUGGGGUAGGGGCUGACCAAGGCUUUGACGGGUAGCCGGCCUGGGAGGGUGACCGGGGACAUUGGGACUGAGGUAGGGACCAGACGCCUACGGGAGGCAGCAGUGGGGAGUAUGGCGCAGUGGGCGGAAGCCUGAUGCAGCAACGCCGCGUGCGGGAUAACGGCCUUCGGGUUGUAAACCGCUUUCGCCUGUGACGAAGCGUGAGUGACGGUAAUGGGUAAAGAAGCACCGGCUAACUACGUG
rnacentral:rRNA from 1 species